rnacentral:snRNA from 1 species
AUCACUUCUUGGCCUUUUGGCUAAGAUCAAGUGUAUUUUUAACAUUAAUUUUUGAACUAUUCUCUUGAAAAUGUACUUUUGUUUCAUUUGCUUUCUGUGUGAAUUCAUACUACAAUACAAUAAGCAUAACAUAA